UUGACUUGCAAAUGAUAAUGAUUAUUAUUGCAGGCAACUGAUCGCGAGAUCAGUCGAUGACCCAAAGGACCUUAGGUCGGACCUUUGGAUUAUCUCCUCAUCAGGCUAAUCACGGUUUUUGACCCGGCUUUUUCGCCGGGUCUUUUUUUU
rfam:Pseudomonas sp. ABAC61 scaffold57_001, whole genome shotgun sequence.